UGGAAUCUUCCCGGACCGGGGCACGAACCCGUGUCCCCUGCAUCGGCAGGCAGACUCAACCACUGCGCCACCAGGGAAGCCCAAGUUUAUUGUUUUUAUAAAGGAAGUUUUAAAGUACCUAUAUUAAGUCAUCCUGUAUUGAAAAGAAUGUCAAGCUUGUUAUGAUGUGUAACAAAAAUGUGUUUUUAUUUGUAUUUCAGAAACUAAAAAAAUAAAAUGUUGAGAGAAUCUCCCAAUUCUUUUUGCAAAUCAGACACCCACUUAAGCCUUUAAAUCCUUUAUAAAGACAAUUUCUUUAUAAAGACAAUUUCUGGGUAGCUCUGAAGUCAAUAAAAUCAGUGAAGCUUGACCUGCAGCUAAAAUCUUUAAAAAUAGUAAUCUUCUGAAUUGCUAAUUAAAUGUGGAGCAAAAGAAAAUGAAUAAGUGUAAACUUGAUCUCAAUUUAGGGAAACAUUUUAAAUGAUUACUAGUCAUAAAAGCUAAUGAACUGUAGGUGACUCUUCAAAUUAUUUUUUAAUUUGAACUUUAUGCUGCAAAUAUUGCUUGAAAUAAGUAAUCCAAGUGAGUCCACAAACUUCAAUUAAUUUGGGGUCAGAGACUUAAUGACCAGUAUCUAAAAUGAGUUUUGUAAACGCAAACCGUGUUGUUGAUAUUCAGACCCUUUUACAUAAGUAUUUUGAGUGCUGAGCUUUACGAUUAUUAAUCAGGGAAGCAUAUUCUUAUGGAACUAAACUUUGUUUAUUGAAUGCCAGGGAUAGAACUAAUGACAGGGGAAAUAAUUUGUUUCUAAUGCUUUUUAGCAUGAUCAAAGAGUAAAGUUAUAUCUAAUAGGGCCUGUUAGGGCUGAAGGUAUUCAUAAGUACUGAGUUUUAUUGUCUGAGGUAAUAGGCUUUGUGAAUGCAAAAGAAAAUUCAUCUUAGUUCUUUAUAAUACAGAUGGAACCAGGCCUCAGGUAAUUUGUAGGCUGUUGGCAUUUUAAAUGAAGUGGCUUAACAUUUCAAUCAUUGAUUUGUGUAAACUAAGGAUAUUGAUGGCCUCGGAUAUUGAUCAGAUUGUUACCUGUUCCCUGUAGGAAACCCAAUAGAGAUGAAGCUGAUUCAAGUUCAGCAGGUUUUACAGUUACUUUCAAGAUGAACUCAGGAAAGAUGACAAUUUUAAUUGUAGAGCUUAACUGAGAAUAUAAGAUGGAAGAAACAGGCAUUAAGACGAUAGAAAUCAUCUCCAUUUUACAGAUGAGCAGACACUGAGAACUAGCACUACAGCCAACACUAAAAUCUAGCUUUCCUGGAUCCUGAUCCAUUUUCUUUCUGCCUCUACUCAAAAACAGUGGGCCAAAUGGAAGAUCACUAUUAUUUGGAGGCCCUCCACAGUGCCGUACAAAUUCCAGCCUUCCCUUCAGUCAGCACACUACUGUUGAUAAUGACGUGCAAGAACUUGUCAUAGUUAGAAAAGCUGUAUAUUACAUGAAGACAAGAGCUAGCUCUGAUUCUGCUCACCAUUGUGUCAUCAGCCACAGUAUCUGGUCCAUAGUACCCAUUCAGUAAGUGUCCAGUGGGUGACUGAAUACACAGAUGAAUUUGGGGAGAAUAAGGACCGACAGACAGCCCAAAAGCUGUUCCAUUGACUUUAGCAUAUCCUAGUUGCUAAAUGCUGAAACAAAGAGGUGACAGAAGUUCCUGGAAGUCUUUUUGGGUGGUGAGAAGUGAAUGGUUAAGAAGCCAAGGCUGGUUUCGAAUUUCGUUGGGACUACCUGUAAGGUCAGAUCUUAACAAACGGCACCACGAAACAGAGGAAAGCUUCAAGUGAGCUCUUAUUAGGGAGCGCUCCCGGGCGAGGUUCACUGGUCCGAGAGAAA